GGGACGGGGGCGGGGAGCAACCGCUGUUCGUUGAUAAGAGAAAGAGUAAGAAUGAUACGUGCUUUCACGUCAGUCUCCAAAAGUCUCAAAUAACACCAGAAAAAGUCGCUAGAUUUGUCGCUAGUCGCUUUUUUGAAAAUGUGUCGCUAGAGGGGUCUGAAUACUCACUAAAUAUAGCGACUAAGUCGCUAAGUUGGCAACACUGAGCUCAAGAAACACAAGCCCAAUUUCCUCUCACUCUACAAGAACUCGGUAGGCCAGUUGAGAACAAGUUCUCAUUAACAACUGCAACCUGGCCAAGAUAAAGCAAAGCAGUGAGACAAAAACAACAUGGGAUAAAUGAAUGUACAGUCAAUAACACAAUAGAAACAGUAUUUACAGAGUGUGCAAAUGUAGUAAUAUUAGGGAGGUAAUGAAAUAAAUUGGCCAUACAGGUGAAAUAGCCUGUAUGGAAGAUUGCAGAGCAGAGGGAGAGUGCGGAAAAACCCAGUACAGAAGGCAUUGCCAUCCAGGGCCAGCAAGGGGCACGUCUCCUCCCUGAACAGCUGCUCACCGAGGCCUUCAUCCUGAGUGACCUCUUUGACAUCGGGGAGCUGGCACUCCUGGAGCUGCUGCUGGCAGUCACAGGCAUCAGAGAACUGGAAGGAAAGGCGGCCAAAUGAGGUGUUGGCUUUAGGGAUGAUCAGUGAGAUACACCUGCUGGAGCGUGUGCUACGGGUGAGAAACAACAACACCACUUCCCAGGUCUGAGUUGGGGGCUGGUUGCAGUGCUGCUCUACUGGGAUGGAAAGCUUUGUGUGGCCAACUCCCUGCGCUCGCCAAUCCAGUGCCUCCACUGCAAGACCUUCACCUUGGAACUAGGUGAGGAGCUGUUGGCCCUCACCACGCAUUUCGCUGAUGAGCCAGGGCCUGACGACAUGCCUACUGACGCUGGUAUCAGAGAUCAAUGUGAUGCGGGAGUUUGAGCGCCUUCAGUAAGAGCGUGGCCUGGGAAACGAGAAACAUAGGAAAGAGGUAUCUGACCUCAUCAAAGAGUGCCGACAGGCUCUGGCAGAUUGCCUGUUUGCAUGGGCCUGCCAAUCACCACUGGGUAAGGAUGACACCCUAGACCUUAUUGGCCACCUGGAGACCAUGACAUCGGAAGCUGAUGGCUCAUUGGACAGCAUGAACCUGGCUCUAGUCAUGGCACUGCUUUACUGUUUGGAUGUCAGCUUCCUAGAACAAGGAACAGAAGACAGAGAAGUCAUCUGGUGGAGGGGGUGCCCUGGAAGCUGCAAGGGCUGCAGGCCAUGUGUCGGUUGGCCUGGGCCCUGGCCCUGCGUGCCCUCUCCCAGCUGUCCCAGGGCUCAUCCCUGGUGGAGUUUAGAGGCACAGGCUGACCAGGCCCUGCUAGGAGGUGUCUUCCUCUUCAUGACAGAGGGCAUGGUGGGAUGUGAGUUCUAAACCCGCCGCCUCCAUUUCCUCAUCACUGACUUCCUGGCUCUCAUUCCCAUGAAGAUGAAUCAGCUGUGAACCCAUGCUGAUGAGGAUGCCCGUCUGGUGCACAUGUCUCUGCAGAUGGGCAGUGAGCCUCCGUCCUCCCUGAGGAAAGACCUGGACCACCUCAUGAUCCUGAUCGGAGAGUUCUCUAGCAAGGACCCGUUUGGGAUGGAGCUGGCUCUGGAGUUCUGGUGCCCCACUGAGUUCCUCCAGGGUUCCUACCCGGGCAUGGCCAUGCAGAGGCCUCCACACACUACCAGGUGUGCUGAGGUGCCCACAAAGCUGCCUGCAUGCCAUCCCGAGUCUGCUGCAGAGAGGCAGUGAGAGACGCUUGGGUCCCGUGCUCACCAUCCAGGCACCACACCUGGCUGUGCUCUGUUAUCAGGUGAUCUACCAGCUGUGUGCGUUCUGGGGCACGUCAGGCCCCACCAUGCGAUACCUGAGGACCGACCAAGACUUCCUGUUCUCAUCUGCAGCUCCUGCCCUUCAUUCUACCAAGUGAGCUCUUCACUGUCAUAUCAAUACAGUGUGCUCCUAUCCUGGUCUUCUCUCCGUCAUCUGCAAUGAUCUGAAAACACAGGAUAGGUGGGAGAAAUAUGGCAGAUGCCAACCAGAGCAUUUGUACUCCUACAGAAACCCAGUUGUCUUUUUUAACAGAGCUGCCAGAGAGAAACUACUCCGGGUGUCAAUCUUCUCUCUAAACUGUGUCUCUCCCCCUACACUCUCAUGUGAUGAGAGCUCCACCCUGUCCCAGAUAUCCUGGCUUAUGAAGGCAACGGCCAUCGAGCUCAGUGACAUCACUCAACCGCCAGCACUCACACACCCAGCGCCUCCUCAACCUUCUGCUGGACGACUAGCCUCACACUCUGCACGCAGAUAAGACCUACUACUCACUCACUCACUAUGCACCCACACACUAUGAAAGUUGGAUGCAUUGGAUGUAUUGUCAUUCACUGAUGUAAAUGGGAUACGAUGAAAUGUGCAAAAAGCAAAAUCCUUCAGUUAGUCUGUUUCUUUGAUUAGCUGAUGAGGAGACGGGCAUGGAGGAGGAGUCCAAAUCUGUCAGCUGAUUCCUGCACUUUGACACCGUCUCCAAAGCUGUGUCUGUGUCUGGUACUGGAGUAGAGAGUCCAGAGGAGCCUCCUGGUCCAGAUUAUCAACAACAGGGCCAAGCUGCUGGCCUUCUGCUCCUAUGUGAUUGAGACCUGCCUGUUUGUACUUUGGCGUCACCUGGAGUACAACCUGUUGUACUGCACCCCCACCGACCCCCAAGGACUCCCUGAUGCCUGGAGCCAGCGAGGUUCUCCCCAGGCUAACCCUGUCUGGAGAUUGAGAUCAGACUGGCUUUUGGUAGAAGUCACCCUUAAUCACAGAUCUAGAAUGCGAUAACGCUACCCUCUAGCCUAACCUUGAUCAUGAGGGGAAUGAAAAAUUAGACCCUGUUUCAGUGGGCAUCGUCCAACUCCAGAUGACUGCAGGAAAUGUGAUGUUAGUGGUGCUUCCCCAGACUCAUUUGGACGUGCCCUGGGUCUGGCCAGUCAACCAGCAAGAGCAGCUGCAGAGUGACAUGGGGGGCUGGCUUUGGGGAGGCUCUACAGAGGAAGCUGCAGAGUGACAUGGGGGCAGGCUCUACAGAGGAAGCUGCAGAGUGACAUGGGGCAGGCUCUACAGAGGAAGCUGCAGAGUGACAUGGGGGCAGGCUCUACAGAGGAAGCUGCAGAGUGACAUGGGGGCAGGCUCUACAGAGGAAGCUGCAGAGUGACAUGGGGGCAGGCUCUACAGAGGAAGCUGCAGAGUGACAUGGGGGCAGGCUCUACAGAGGAAGCUGCAGAGUGACAUGGGGGCAGGCUCUACAGAGGAAGCUGCAGAGUGACAUGGGGGCAGGCUCUACAGCUGCAGGAGGUGGAGGGACUGAACAGCCAGGUCCGCUCCCAUUCCACCUUCAUCCAGGCCCUGGUACGCAGGAUACAAGGCCUGCUCCACCAGCCCAAGAGCUGAAACAGUCAACGACCAAUACAACAAACAAGACCUAAAACCUGUGGAACAAUGUUCACCUAAAGAGUACACCAGGCCAAGGAUAUGGACAUUCCAGAACCAGACACACCUGAUCUUGAGAAUUCUAUUUAAACCAGACUCGACUUCCCCUAUUCACUUCAGUCUAUUCUACUGGCCUCUACUGUCCUCCGUCUCUCCUAAGAUGGGCGCUUAGUCUAACUGAUGUAGUUUGCCCAAUAUUUUUUUAUUUUCUUCACAAAACACACCUUUUGGUGUAAUGAUUUUCCAAUGAUUUAUUGAUUUUAUUGUAGGGCUAUUCAACUCUUCGUGGUCUGGAGACUGUUUUUUUUUGUUUUGUUCUCCCUGAUACUUAAUUGCACCCAGUCCAUGAUUAGAGGGGAAGGAUAAAAAAAAAGUGGUACUGGCUUUGAGGUCAAAGGGUUUGUCUCAUCUUUUGUAACAUGACUCAUUUGAGUGACUUAUGAUCAGAGGAAGCAGGAAAGGUAACCAAAACGGGCCUCUGCACUUUCUGCAAUGGUCAACAUGCCCAGUAGUGAAAGUAGAAUUGGUUCACAAAGCAACCAGUGACACACUUCCAUAAUACUUAAACU